AAUAUAUUUCCCAGGACUUAAGCAGUGGUCUGGCCACAUACAAGCCUUUAAUGUGUGUGCAUAAGCGGGGGGUUAGCUUAGGAAGGAAACAGAAGCUUACCUGUUCCCCAGUGAUUUACAUGAGUGAAUAAUCCAAAACAAACCUAGCAAUUAAAAAAAAUAGCCAAGAGCCACAUUCACAUUUGUCUGGGAAUUCAUGUUGGAGAAUGGCCUUUUGGAAUUGUAACAAUGAAAUGCCAACAUUUUGAUCAUUUUAAUCAUCAUUCAUAAAUCUUGGACAAUUUUGCCAAAGUAAAUAUAUUUGCUUUGGGUUAAAAUGUACCCAUUUUGUACUUUGAAAUACUGUUUUCCUUUUUUCAAAAAGCCAGAUAAUCAACACACAGGAAUUUGAACACAACAGAGUGUACCCUGGACUUCUGGUCCAAAACUAUUUGAUGUUUAAAAUGAUGGAUUUGAUUUUGCCUCCCAGAUUUAACAAAUGUUAACAUCUUGCCAUACUUGCUUCUUUAUUAAAAGAAAUAAAAUGUGUAGCUGUUGCUGAUGCUCCUCUCCACGUGUCCUUCCUAUCCCUGUUUUCCUAAAGAAGACCAUGAGGCCGCUGAAUCUGGCACACUGCUGGGGCCUGCAAGCUGUGCCCUGCAGAACUCCAGCUGUGCGAAGGGGAACCCCGUAAUCGCUAGAGAAAGUAUCCACCUUUGUUUUCAACCAUUCACUGUGGGUGUUUGUGUCUUUACACAAUGUUUAGUAUGCUUUCAGUGCUUUAAAAUGUUUACAAAGACACAAAACUGUGCAUAUCCUCCUAAUUCUUGCAUUAUUUUUGAUUACAGUAGAUUGGUGAUUACCUGACCACUAACUAUCCCUCCCUAUUUGUUGCUAACAGAGCCCCAAUUUUGUUGAGGUUUCCAUUCCUUAAGAAAGGAGAACUGAGCCCCAUGUCGAGGGUAAAUACCAAUUAGUAUAAGCAAUCAUAGUAAUCUUACUCCUUCCAAAUGGGUAGACUACGCAGGGCUGUGUGCAUGUCACUUAACUCUGAUCAAUGAGACAAGCAGAAUCUUGCUGGAAAGCUUCCGGGAAAGAUUUCUUAUUCUUGAAAGAAACGGCUUUAUCUUCUCCUAGAUGCUGCCAUAUCUGGCUGUGGGACCUAGGUCUGUGCAGCCGUCUUGCCACUUUGAGGAAGCUGGCCUGAAGAUAUGUCCACAUAAUGACGAUGGCAGAGCAGAAAUAAAGGCACGACAUGGAGAAGCUGUGUUGACCAAUCUUCAGGUUAUCCUGCCUCAAGCCUCUUUUUAUAAUUCCAGUGAGCUGACUUUCAGAGUUCUCGCGCUGGCAGUGUCCCCAGGGCUUGCAUUAGGUGCGUGCACUUUCUUCUGCUCCAGCUGCAAAGAUACUCCAAAGCAAGACUCCACCACAGUUGUGUGCUGCCGGCGGACAGCAGAUGACUCGCCAGGCUGCCCUCUGGGUCUCCAGCAUUCACAGACACAGAAGCACAUCUGUUUACCACCCUAUGCCCAGUGCCUGGCCCAUGGUCAGGCCUUCAUUUUUAAGCCUCUGGGGAGAAACAGCAUAUGGAGGAGGAAGUCUCAAGAGAUGAAAAUUCAUCUGCCCUGUGGCCUUAAAAGGGAGAAAUGGAGGAGUCAAUGUCAAAGGUUAAUCAGCGUCCACCAGUUGAUCCAGCCAUUCACCUCUCAAGGUUUCUGAGCUGCUCUCUGGAUACUGCAGGAAUCCAGACCAUUGCUCAGGUGUCUGCAGAAAAGGGGCAAACAGUCACUGUUACAAGGCAACAGUGGGGAAAAGAUGAAAGAAACUAUCAACUACUUCUCAGUAACACAGACUCCUACACUUACAAGAGCUGCCUUUUACCUCACACGACCGCAGUCUCCUCCACAUUAUUCAAAGCAGCCCUCAUCCCCCCUAGAUUGUCUCACAUUUUUAAGUUGAGUCCAAGUUUCCCUCUACAAUUUCUUCAGUGUUGAUUUGGGAGAAGGGAAUUUACAAGCUCAUGAUGAUUACUAUAUUGAUAGGAACCGGAAGUUCCUACCAAUAAGGGGAAAAAUAAAAACACUAUAAAUAUCCAUGAAUAAGGCAAUGGUUAUAUUAAUUGUGAUGUAUUUAUAUCAUAGAAUACUCUGCAUCUGUUUAAAAAAAAUGAGGUGGAUUUAAAUGCACUGAUAGAGGAAGAGGACCAUAACAUUGUAAUAGAAAUGAAGCAGGAAAAUACAUAUACCGUGAUGUCAUUUUGUAACAUCUUUACGAAUACGUAUUUGUAUAUAAGCAUAAGAAAAGUCUCAGUGGAUAUACACUUAGUAAAAAUUGUCAGAGUUGGGUAAACAAAUCAGAAGAGACUUUCACUUUUUGCUUUACACAUAUUUAAAUUAUUUGGAUGCUUUCUAAGUAUUUAUUAUGUGUCACAAUGAAUCCUUAAAAAAAUGGAGAGGAUAGAUUCUUAUAACCAUACUGGGUGGAAGGUCCCCUUACAGGAUGCUACUUCAUUCUUCCUAAGUGUCCCACACAUUGUACACAUCUCUUUUCUGUCCCUUUUCCACAAAAGCAAAAAAUUCCCUUGCACUCUAUCCUGGGAAAUUGUCAGUUGUUGAUAAUUGUUGGUUGUUUAUUGAGUAAAUAACAUUAAUAAAUGAAUGAAUGCAUGAAAUAAAACUGGAGAAGCUAUAUCAAAUAAAAUUACA
ensembl:lncRNA